GAUAGUGAUUGAUUUUAAGAGAAAAUAAGCAAAUGUGAAAUCUACAUGCUAAGCUAUUUCAGCGAGGCAGAUUUUUUUCAUAUACAGGAUGGAUACUGAUUAUUAUAACCAGUGUCUUCAGGGAUAAGCAAUUCUUUCAGAUUAUCUCUCUCACUGAAAAUGCCAUUCAAGAAUAUCACCUCUGUGUUUUUAUUUUAAGCUCUGUAGGCAACUUUUUGAUCUAUAAUUAAGUUGAACAGGCAUAUGUCUUAUUGUGACUGGGAUGUAGCCAUGGUAUAUUCAUAAACUGGUGUUCUGGUUGGUAACUGAUUCUCUUGUCAGUUUUCUUGGUGUGAGUGCAGUGCUCCAGAGUUGGUGAACUCUAGGUGAACUGUUGAGAUCAAGUUUCUGUAUCUGCAAAACUGAAGAUCAGACUUUGGACUGUGGCAAGUGAAAAUAGACUGAAUCUGAGAGGUGAAGCCCAGCUAAAAAGAGAGCUCAUCAUCACCCACUAACGGGUCAAAAUCUACAGUUUGAAGAGUCCUGCAAUGUGGAAGGAAUGUUCAAGCAGGAGUGAGAAUCCUGAGUUCCUUGUUGCUCCACUUUUGAAUGGAAACCUGUACUCUCACCAUCAAACCAAGGUGAUAGGAUUCAAUCAGAUCAUCUCCACGGCCUCUGUUUCAGUGGAUUGAGGAUUUCCCACCUUGAUACUGGUGAUUUUUCCUCAUCAGGAUUCCUUGACGGGGCACCUGUCUCAGCAGACGACCAGAAAACUCAACACAGGACCAUUGUGCACUUACCUUCUCUGCCAAGGAAAAAAAAAGGUAAUGGUUUAAACAUGCUUCCCUUCCACUCUACACUUUAUCAUUAUACAAGACUCGACAUAUAUUUUAAUAAAAUUGAAAGAUGCAUGCAAUAUAGGCUAAUGGAUAAGCAGAAACCACAAAGAAUUCUUAGUAUUAUCACUUCCAUGAAUUAAAAAUUAAAGGAGAAAAGAUUAUA